rnacentral:rRNA from 1 species
GACGAACGCUGGCGGCGUGCUUAACACAUGCAAGUCGAACGGAAAGGCCCUGCUUUUGUGGGGUGCUCGAGUGGCGAACGGGUGAGUAACACGUGGGUAACCUGCCCUUGACUUUGGGAUAGCUUCAGGAAACUGGGGCUAAUACCGGAUAGGAGCUCCUGCUGCAUGGUGGGGGUUGGAAAGUUUCGGCGGUUGGGGAUGGACUCGCGGCUUAUCAGCUUGUUGGUGGGGUAGUGGCUUACCAAGGCUUUGACGGGUAGCCGGCCUGAGAGGGUGACCGGCCACAUUGGGACUGAGAUACGGCCCAGACUCCUACGGGAGGCAGCAGUGGGGAAUAUUGCACAAUGGGCGGAAGCCUGAUGCAGCAACGCCUCGUGCGGGAUGACGGCCUUCGGGUUGUAAACCGCUUUCGCCUGUGACGAAGCGUGAGUGACGGUAAUGGGUAAAGAAGCACCGGCUAACUACGU